GUAUCUGCAAGAUGGCUUCAACAAAAGGUAAGUUGAUAUGUAAUUGCUUAAAAAGUUCAAGAAACUUACCGAAUUGUGCAUCAAUGCGGUCUUUUUUCAAUUUUGCUGGGUAUGGAACUGGAGGUUUAUAUUCCUUCGGAACUAGUUUGUCACUAUUUUCUGGUUUUUCUUCCCUCUUUCCGCUUACCACAAGUUCUUAUGUUAGCUUCUUUUCAAAUUCCGCUAACACUUUCCCACUCC
rnacentral:lncRNA from 1 species